AAAGCAUGGACGACUUUUACUGAAUAUUUGUAUAGGUAUAGGUUAUACAAACGAUGGGGCUGUCCCCAGGAAUCUUAAUUCAGUUGAGACCCAAAACUCGGGCACACAGAUACGCACGAGACCCCCUGAACUGCCAAGGUGCACUAUGCAGGACUGCAGGCCCAUCUAAUAUGUGUACACACACAGGAAUGUAGGCCCAUCUGAAGUGUGCGCACAGACAGGACUGCAGGCCCAUCUGAAGAGUGUACACACACAGGACUGCAGGCCCAUCUAAUGUGUGUAUAUGGAAUGGCAGGUGCAGGACUUCAGCAGAUGGACGGCUCCUCCACAGCCCGGGUUCCUUCGGUCACAGCUUUCACACACUUGGCCAUGGUCUGGGAGGCCCUGCUGAUGGGAUCUGAGCCAGGCAGAGAGGGGAACAGUUCAGCACCCACAGUACACCUGGCGACUGGAGCUUGAGAUAAUCUGGGUCUAUAGGUCCCUCAGUCGCAGUAAUCGUGUCUCAUGUCCAGGGCUGUGCCAUGCUCCCUCCAUUUUGGCCAGAACCCCCAGGUUAUGCUGACACCAUGUCUCUGUGGUCUGAGGGCCCAGAGACACUGUGGGAACUUAACAGUGGGAGAAUGAAGCGUGUGUGUGAUUCAAUUUGAAAUGGUGGCAUCUCCCCCUAAGACGCCAUACAAGAGUACAACUGGUCCCCUGGGAUGGGCAUCUGGAUCUUUUGCUUAGUGAGCCAAUCGUGUCUCUUGUGAGGAGUUCAGACCAUGCACACUCAGUCAGGGGAGGAGCACUAUUUUAUUAAUAAAUGUGGGUAUUUAUUUAUUAUUUAUUGUAUACUAUU